rnacentral:rRNA from 1 species
CCGUACCAAGGACGAUGAUGCAUAGCCGAGUUGAGAGACUGAUCGGCCACAUUGGGACUGAGACACGGCCCAAACUACCUACGGGAGGGCAGCAGUAGGGAAUCUUCCACAAUGGACGCAAGUCUGAUGGAGCAACGCCGCGUGAGUGAAGAAGGGUUUCGGCUCGUAAAGCUCUGUUGUUGGUGAAGAAGGACAGGGGUAGUAACUGACCUUUGUUUGACGGUAAUCAAUUAGAAAGUCACGGCUAACUACGUGCCAGCAGCCGCGGUAAU